CGCGAUCUGAUGAGCGCCUCCACCAUCGAGAACAUGGUGAGCCAUCUGUCGCCGACCAAGUUCACGUCGCGCUCCCUGGACACGCUUCUGGCGCAGAUGCAGAAGGACCAGGCGCGCGACGAGAUCCUCAACGAGAGCAACUACAAGGAGCUCGGCGCAACCGUCAACAACGAUAAAUCGCCUCUGGUGACGAAGAGCUUCGGAGCGGUUGCAACCAGAAGGAAAACGGAUCUGGAGUUCAGCGAUUCCGAGAGGGAGAUGCGCCUGGUGCAGCCGGACGAGCAGAGCAAACCUCUGAUACCGUCCUCCGCUCAUCGAAGACACAAAGUGGACAACGAAUCGCAGCUGGCUCCCAUCAAUUCGCUCACGAGAUACGCGGAUGGUAAGUGUUUUGUUUCUUGCUCCCUAAACAAAAAAGAAAUAUUGGAAUUAGUAUACUUGUGGCAAGUGAUUUACCGAGUGCAAGUCGAGUCAAGUGAUUCGUCAAGUAUAUACUGUCGAUUGUAUUUAGUUUCUAAAAAAGCAACGCCGAGAACGACGCUGACGAAGCCGGCUGCGAUCAAGGAACCUCUUUCGAAGACGACGACGUCGCAGAUGGAGGGAAGCGGCGUCGAGGAGUUCUACAAGAACAAGUUGAGCUUCGCGAAGAGCUACAAAGAUGACGGAUACACGACCGCCUAUUUCGAUGAGAUGUACGUGACCAACAGCAACGAAAAGGAGGAAGAAUGAGGUUUGAUGCAUCCCGUGCGUAGUGUCCAUUUGAAAUUAAAUUGUCUGUAUCAUCUAGUCGCCUGUUUCAUUUGUUGUUGAUUGUAGUCUCCAUGACAAUCAGUGAUUGCUUGUGAAAUUUUCUAUUUUAUGUGAAAUUUUUGAAAUCACUAAGGGGGGGAAAGAAUGUUUCCAAUGACAACCAACAAUAGUUGUUAGUGACGACGUUGUUAUGGAUCCGGUAAGUGCACUGGAUUCGAAUAGGAAUAUCUUCUGUCCGGUUGAAAAGAAGUUUUUUCCAUUCGCGGAAAACUGGAAAACGAGCGGAAAAAAACGCCGUUGCGCCUCGUCCGAAAUGGGUCUCCUCUCGUCUCGUCUCCCAUGCAGACGUCGAGAGUCUCUUGACUUAUGGUAGGAUGAGAGAUUUGUUAAAUUAAUGUGAAUCGAGGUCGAGAAUUGGCGUGUGUUUGAGUGUGUGUGUACGCGGCUCCCGCUCUCGUCCCAAAUACGUCACUUCGCGUAACAUGUGCAAGUGUAUAAGUUUAUGUACGUAUAAUAUGUGUGUGUGUUAGAGUAGCCAAGGAGUUUGCGAGAAGGAAGGGACCUUGCCUUGCGUCCGCGAUCAGAGAGAUCCGCGCGCGCGUUGCUUUUUCGCACUUUGAACAUUCGCCGAUCGACAACGGCGGUGAGAAAACUAAAUACUACAAAAUAGAAGAA